rnacentral:rRNA from 1 species
UACGUAGGGGGCAAGCGUUGUCCGGAAUCAUUGGGCGUAAAGAGCGCGUAGGCGGCCCUGUAAGUCCGCUGUGAAAGUCAAGGGCUCAACCCUUGAAUGCCGGUGGAUACUGCAGGGCUAGAGUCCGGAAGAGGCGAGUGGAAUUCCUGGUGUAGCGGUGAAAUGCGCAGAUAUCAGGAGGAACACCGGUGGCGAAAGCGCUCUGCUAGGCCGCAACUGACACUGAGGGACGAAAGCUAGGGGAGCGAAUGGG